rnacentral:lncRNA from 1 species
GUUUUUUGUUUUUUUUUUUGAGAUGGAGUCUCACUGUUGCCCAGGCUGGAAUGUGGUGGCACAAUCUUGGCUCACUGCAACCUCCGUCCCCUGAAUUCAAGCAAUUCUCCUGUCUCAGCCUCCUGAGUAGCUGGGAUUACACGCAUGUGCCACCACGCCCAGCUAAUUUUUGUAUUUUUAGUAGAGAUGGGGUUUCACCAUGUUGGCCAGGAUGGUCUCCAUCUCCAGACCUCAUGAUCUGCCCACCUCAGCCUCCCAAAGUGCUGGGAUUACAGGCGUGAGCCACUGCAACCGGCCUAAUUUUUGUAUUUUUAGUAGAGAAGGGGUUUCACCAUGUUGGCCAGGCUGGUCUCAAACCCCUGACCUCAAAUGAUCCGCUUGCCUUGGCCUUCCAGAGUGUUAGGAUUACAGGCGUGAGCCACCAUGCCCGGCCAAAUGUUUUCAAUUAUCAUGCCUAAAAUGUAGAGGUGUAAUUGUUUUCUAACUUAUAAUUUUAGUUCUCUGAGGAAAGGGACUCUCCCUCAUAUAAUAACUGAGGGUACCCUGUAUCUUAGGUGCUCCCUGGACAACCUGAUUACUCCCCUAGCCUGGGCAUCAUUGUUAACACCUGCCCCUUUUUACUCUCAAGAGGGUCUCAGUUUACAUGUAAGCAAUUAGGUCAGCUUACUUAAAAAUCCACAGGACUAUCAAUGGACUUGCAUUUUGGACCUCCAGAAAAAAUACAUUUUCAGAAACACACUAUGUGUAAAAGAAACGGGUUGUCUCUACUUGACUUCUUCUAAGUUUACUAUCUUAUCUGCACGGGGAGUGGUACAUCAAUGGUACAGGCUGUACUUUUGAUCUGAGAGUUGGGGGAAGAAUUAGAACACCAAGUAGCUCACAAAAUGUGUUGUCAGGCCAGAGAGGAUCAAACAACAUCUAUUGUACUGCUCACCACCUUCCCAACCCCAAUCACACUCUCGCAUCAUCAGCAAAUGAGAUGAGUGUAGCUACUUUCCAGGGUGGGGACUGGAGGAGGGGAUCAGAACCCAAUUAGAAGCCGGGCGCAGCAGCUCACGCCUGUAAUCCCAGCACUUUGGGAGGCUGAGGUGGGUGGAUCAAUUGAGGUCAGGAGUUCAAGACCAGCCUGGCCAACACGGUGAAACCCUGUCUCUACUAAAAAUAUAAAAAUUAGUCAGGCAUGGUGGUGGGCGCCUAUAAUCUCAGCUACUUGGGAGGCUGAGAAAGGAGAAUCGCUUGAACCUGGGAGGUGGAGGCUACUGUGAGCUGAGAUUGCACCACUGUUGCCUGGGCAAUAGCGGGAGACUCUGUCUCAAAAGAAACAAAGAAUCCAAUUAGACAAAAGGUUUAUCAUAAGGUCUCCAAGCUUCCCAGUCUAGCACCCAUCAAGCCAAGAUCAUCUGUAAGCUUGAAUUCUUUUCCUCACAAGUAAACUGACUUGAAGGAGAAUAUCACUUUCAUGUAGCUAACGGAUUAGGAGUCAUCUGCCCAAACUGACAAGAUUUGGGAGUUAGACAGAAAUUGCUGGAUUACUCUGUCCCCAGAGGGCACCAAAGCUUUUGUCAACGCGUGUUCCUUGGCAUGGUGCUAACAACAAGCUGCCAUGAAGGCCCCUAAGCUGCUGGCAGACACAUCCGUGCAGAGCACUGCUGCAGGCUCCGCUUCACUCCGUAGACCAGGAGGGCCACAGGGAGGGAGGGCUGGGUGAGGAAGAACAGGAGAUAAAGCCAGGACACUGCACUGCAGACACCGAGGAGAAGAAAAAGCAAGCACGAAGGCGGGCAAGCAUCACAAACCAUGCAAGUCCUGUGAUGACCUCCAAAGCUCCCCAGGUGGGCGGCUCUGCAGUACAGCGGGGUCUGGUUCCACCCAACCCAGGGGUUUCCAAAAGAUAAUUUCCUAUUCCCCAAAUCUGACACUGCUGAGUGCCUCAGCCCUUUCCACCUCACUUCCUGAAAUGAAUCCCAUAUCCAUUGGUUUCUUCAUCCUGCUACCAGGACUAUCUGAGACUAAGACAUCCUGGAAGGAGUUUCAGAGGGACCCAAAGAAGAAAAUGGUCGCUACUGAGCCACAACCCCACACAAUCCCAGAGGGUCCCAGGGGCAUUAGGGUCAGGACAACAGAGGGCUGCGACCACUAAGUGCAUCCUGAGAGCAAGUGAGGCAGAGGCCACAGAGAACACCCGCAUCGCCGGAGGCGUCUUCAAAAAUGCAUGUUGUGGCCAGGCGCGGUGGCUCACGCCUGUAAUCCCAGCACUUUGGGAGGCCGAGGCAGGCGGAUCACCAGGUCAGGAAAUCGAGACCAUCCUGGCUAACACAGUGAAACCCCGUCUCUACUAAAAAUACAAAAAGAAAUUAGCUGGGUGUGGCGGCGGGUGCCUGAAGUCCCAGCUACUCGGGAGGCUGAG